ACUCGGCGGCCGCCGCUGCAAUGCCGAUGGACUUGCACGUCCCCCAGGGAUUCCCCUACUACAGAUAUCGAGAGGAAGCCCUCUGCUGGACAGAUCGGAAACCUACCGUAGACGAAGUUGGGAACCCCACAUCUGUAAAUGCUCGGUAAGU